AUGACUAUAAAUCCCAGCACGAGAGCUUCGCGGGUGUCUCAAACGGAACACCGGAACGCCACCGGGCCGGAGAGAUCCAGCCCCCGCCGAUCCAUGGCUCCCGCGGCGGCGCGGCUCCUCUUCCUCACCCUCGCCGUCGCCUCCUCCCUCGCCGUGGGCGCGGAGGCCCUCCGGUCGCUGGGCGUCGGCGACGGGGCCACCGCGCAGGGGGACUACGCCGUGGAGCUCGACGCCACCAGCUUCGACGCCUUCCUCACGGCAUCGCGAGAGUCCUUCGCCGUCGUCGAGUUCUUCGCCCACUGGUGUCCAGCUUGCAGAAACUACAAGUUUCUUCCUUACCUGCAGCCCCAUUAUGAGAAGGUUGCAAAACUUUUCAACGGUCCAGAUGCUGCACAUCCUGGGAGAGUACUGAUGGCUAGGAUUGAUUGUGCAUCAAAGCACAGCUCUUUUACUUUGGAUGACAAAAAGUAUGAGAACGAAAAUAUGCUUCAAAACAAUGCUUCAUAUCCUAAACAGGUUGUUCAAGCAAUUUACGAUGUUGCGGAAGCAACAGCUCAUGUAUUACAGAAAAAUUUGGAGCACAAGGUUCUACUUAAAUGA
rnacentral:rRNA from 1 species